AUUGAACGCUGGCGGCAGGCCUAACACAUGCAAGUCGAGCGGAUGAAGGGAGCUUGCUCCUGGAUUCAGCGGCGGACGGGUGAGUAAUGCCUAGGAAUCUGCCUGGUAGUGGGGGAUAACGUCCGGAAACGGGCGCUAAUACCGCAUACGUCCUGAGGGAGAAAGUGGGGGAUCUUCGGACCUCACGCUAUCAGAUGAGCCUAGGUCGGAUUAGCUAGUUGGUGGGGUAAAGGCCUACCAAGGCGACGAUCCGUAACUGGUCUGGAAGGAUGAUCAGUCACACUGGAACUGAGACACGGUCCAGACUCCUACGGGAGGCAGCAGUGGGGAAUAUUGGACAAUGGGCGAAAGCCUGAUCCAGCCAUGCCGCGUGUGUGAAGAAGGUCUUCGGAUUGUAAAGCACUUUAAGUUGGGAGGAAGGGCAGUAAGUUAAUACCUUGCUGUUUUGACGUUACCAACAGAAUAAGCACCGGCUAACUUCGUG
rnacentral:rRNA from 1 species